GAUGAACGCUGGCGGCGUGCCUAAUACAUGCAAGUCGAGCGAACAGACGAUGAUCUUGCUCCUCUGUCGUUAGCGGCGGACGUGUGAGUAACACGUGGAUAACCUACCUAUAAGUCUGGUAUAACUUCGGGAAACCGGCGCUAAUACCGUAUAAUAUCUUGAACCGCAUGGUUCAAUAGUGAAAGACGGUUUUGCUGUCUCUUAUCGCUGCAUCCGCGCCUCAUUAGCUAGUUGUUAAGGUAACGGCUUACCAAGGCAACGAUGCGUAGCCGACCUGAGAGGGGGAUGGGCGACACUGGAGCUGAGACGCGGUCCAGAGACCUAGGGGAGGCAGAAGUAGGGAAGGGAGCGAAAUGGGAGAAAGCCUGACGGAGGAACGCAGCGUGAGUGAAGAAGGGCUGCGGAUCGGAAAACGCUGUUAUGAGGGAAGAACAAAUGUGUAAGUAACGAUGCACGUCUUGACGGUACCGAAACAGAAAGCCACGGCUAACUACGU
rnacentral:rRNA from 1 species